rnacentral:lncRNA from 1 species
AAGAAGUCGAACUGGGCAAGGGAAAACCAAAAGAUCUGUGAUCAGAAAAGAUUCCUCAGGCUCUGUUUCUGAGCAGUUACCUUGCAGAGAUGAUGAGAAUGUUGGACCGACGACACAAGACCUCAGACUUGUGUUAUUCUAGCAGCUGAACACACCCCAGGCUCUUCUGACCGGCAGUGGCUCUGGAAGCAGUCUGGUCUAUAGGU